rnacentral:rRNA from 1 species
AUACGUAGGUGACAAGCGUUAUCCGGAUUUACUGGGCGUAAAGGGCGUGUAGGCGGUCUUGCAAGUCAGAAGUGAAAUUCCUGAGCUCAACUCGGGCGCUGCUUCUGAAACUGCAGGACUUGAGUGCUGGAGGGGAUAGCGGAAUUCCUAGUGGAGCGGUAAAAUGCGCAGAUAUUAGGAAGAACACCGGUGGCGAAGGCGGCUAUCUGGACAGUAACUGACGCUGAGGCGCGAAAGCCAGGGGAGCGAACGGGAUUAGAUACCCCGGUAGUCCUGGCGGUAAACGAUGUAUGCUGGGUGUGAGACUAGCGAUAGUUUCGUGCCGAAGUUAACGCGAUAAGCAUACCGCCUGGGGAGUACGGUCGCAAGAUUGAAACUCAAAGGAAUUGACGGGG